UACAGAGACUGCAAGCGUUAUUCGGAAUCACUGGGCGUAAAGGGUGCGUAGGCGGGUCUUUAAGUCAGGGGUGAAAUCCUGGAGCUCAACUCCAGAACUGCCUUUGAUACUGAGGAUCUUGAGUUCGGGAGAGGUGAGUGGAACUGCGAGUGUAGAGGUGAAAUUCGUAGAUAUCAGGAGGAACACCGAUGGCGAAGGCAGAUCUCUGGGCUAACACUGACGCUCAGGCACGAAAGCGUGGGGGAGCAAACAGGAU
rnacentral:rRNA from 1 species